AGUGAACGCUGGCGGCGUGCUUAACACAUGCAAGUCGAACGAGAACGGAUUAUAGCUUGCUAUAAUUGUCAGCUAAGUGGCGCACGGGUGAGUAAUGUAUAGGUAAUAUGCCUCUUACUAAGGGAUAACAAAUGGAAACGUUUGCUAAUACCUUAUACUCCUUAUUAACAGAAGUUAAUAAGGGAAAGAUUUAUUGGUAAGAGAUUAGCCUGUAUUGUAUCAGUUAGUUGGUGGGGUAAUGGCUUACCAAGACUAUGACACAUAACUGGUUUGAGAGGAUGAUCAGUCACACUGGAACUGAGACACGGUCCAGACUCCUACGGAAGGCAGCAGUGGGGAAUAUUGCACAAUGGACGAAAGUCUGAUGCAGCAACGCCGCGUGGAGGAUGACACAUUUCGGUGCGUAAACUCCUUUUAUAUGGGAAGAUAAUGACGGUAUUAUAUGAAUAAGCACCGGCUAACUCCGUGCCAGCCGCCGCGGUAA
rnacentral:rRNA from 1 species